UUCGCAUGCACACAACAACACCGGGCUUGCGUGCAUGAGCAUUCAGAGGCGGGGCACAUAGUGAAUUAUCUUCCAUAUGCAGUACUGCUGUUUAGCAUUGCUGUGAACAAGGAGAGUCAAUGUGUAUUGCAUUGAACCUGGAUGUGUU
rnacentral:misc_RNA from 1 species